UCUUGUCAGAUAGUUUUGUGUUUUUUGUCCUGUCUGUGCCCUGUCAGUGUGUCUCAGCCAUGUGCCUUUGUUUGGAAUCUUCCCUGUAUUCUCUUGUUCCUAAAGCACUCAAUGAAUACAGCGUGGAUAGUUCAGAAACUGUUGGAUACUGGUUUGGCCUGAGAGCUGAAGGUGGGAGAUGGAAGUGGAUUGAUGGAAGUGAUCUGACUGUAAGCUGCUGUACACCACAACCUCCUCCUGCCACUGAUGGUCAGUGUGUAAUGUCUGUCCAGACCAAUAAAUGGAUAUCAGUGAGCUGUACUGAGAAACAAAGAUGGAUCUGCAUAAUGAAAGCUUUAUCUGUUUAAACACUGCAGUCAGACUCUGCAUGAUAAUAUCAACUGGCUUAUAAAUAUCAAACUGUAAACACAUCUACUACACAAUUUAAAUGUUUUGGGUCUUUCUUUUUUUUAAAUAAAAAGGAAGAGUGGUUUUCUUUUUAUAGAAAGAGAAAUAUUUAUAGUGAAUUAUUUUGAAAAGCUGUUGGUGUAUCUCAUUUAAUAAAAAAAAAACAGACACUUAGAUUUGAAUACGUUUAGAUAUUUGAUUAUAUAGGUAUGCUAAUGUAAGUCUGUGGAACAUACAGUGACUAGACUGAAGGGGCACUGUUAUCAUUGAUACCUGUUGAAUGGGCUUUUGUUCUGCUUUGUUAGAGAUGUGAUGCUCAUAAUUAGUAUAUCAGCAGAUUGAUGACAGGGACAGACAGACUGCUCAGUUUCCUGUUUCCUAUGUAUCAUGGAACAUAUAUUGUUGCUACUCAUUGGUAAAAAUGGGGGCACUGCAUCACUUGUUCUCAACAGAAUGUCCUCAGAGCUUUUUGCUUCAGCAUGUUAGGAAUAUUAACAUGUAAAAUGUUUUCUAUUUAUCUAUCUAGUAGCAAAUUUAUGUUACAUUGAAUUAAAAAUGCUGCAACACAUUGUCUUUUUCUUACAUAAUGCUGAUUGAAAAUAUUUUCACCAAUGUAGAACGAACAUGAUUCAGGAAGUUGCAGCCUAUUGAACAGGAUGUGUGAGACAAGCAGAUUGAAAGAAAAAAUGACAAUCACAACCAUAAGCUGAAUAAAAUAGGGCACAACCUCAAAUCAGACCAUCACAGUGGAGCAGAGGUUUUUUAACCCUUGUGUUGUCUUCCUGUCGACCAUGAACUUUUUUUGGCACUUUUUUAAACGUUUUUUUCAUUAAGGGUCAAUAAACCUAACUUACA